AUAAAAGUGGAAAAAGUGCAUGAAAAGUGUAUAUUAUUACUGAGAAUUCUGAAAGAUGUUGAAAUUAACAGUCACGCCCAACUCGCGUAUAUUCGCCCGUUUGUUUGAAAUCGAGGUACUACUUGGUUCUGUCUACUCUGGUUGUACCACAGGUUGUACACACUCUGUUUCAUUUAAUUUUGAUCAACAAACAAUGUAUUGGUGGCUAUAAUGCUACGGAUUUGAAUAAAAACUAAAUACUAUACCACCAUGCAUUAAUAAAAUUGAAUCACAUCAAUAAUAAUU